GGCCGACUAGCUCAGUUGGUUAGAGCGUGGUGGCUAAUAACGCCAAGGUCGUCGGUUCGAACCCCGGCGUUGGCCA
rnacentral:tRNA from 1 species